UCAGGUUCACUCCCCACCCCCAGACUGCACUGAAGAAGAGGGAUCUGGAUGCGAUCCACAGAAUGGCACAUUUGAGUCACCUGAAGUCUUGGACACGGGACUGUGGCACACAGCUUCCCACCUCAACAGUCUGUCCUUCACUCUUGAUAUCACUCUCCAGAACCAUGAAGUGUGGCUCUUCGUUCCACUAAGUGAACUUCUUCCCUGAAGACCCACUGAACUGGCAGAGCCCAUCCAGGGAAAGAUCCUGAGCCCCAUCCCCUUGAGCUCCAGGCCAGGGCUCUCAACAUGAUUCCAUGCCCCAUGCAUUAAUUUGGUUGAAUAAACU